GUGCCAUUUAAAAACAAAAGUGACAAAUUGAAGGCACUGGCCCGCCCUCCAAGCAAUAAUCCCAAGCGAUAUGACUCAACAAACCCCAGUGUCAAAGGCUACAAUGGGACUGGGUGACUUAACACCCAGUGGUGUAGAGGCUACAGGUACCAGAAUCUGAAGUCAAAACCAGAAUUCAAACCUUGGGCUCCUCAUUGGAGACAAGAUGGGACUCUCAUCAAGAUGCCUGCAGGCCAUGCUCCCACUGACAUCUCUGGGGAAGAGCCCCUCUUUGCAGGUUUGUCGGUGACUCUAUUGAGAACAGCUGUUCUAAGUCUUCUGAAGCCCGGAUUAAUGCAUUCUUUGAGGAUGUGGCCACUGGUAGGAUUCCCAUGCCAUGGUGGAUGGCCCACACCCACGCACAUAUGCAGUAACUGGACUCAGUGGGUUAUCUAGAAGAAGAGAAAAGAAGAGGAGGAAGAAGAGAAAAUGAUGACAUCAAGAUGCAGG
rnacentral:lncRNA from 1 species